rnacentral:rRNA from 1 species
AGUGAACGCUGGCGGCACGCCUAACACAUGCAAGUCGAACGAUCUUUGGCAGUUUAUCGUCAGAGGUAGUGGCAAACGGGUGAGUAAUACGUGGACAAUCUUCCCUCGAGCGGGGGAUAACUCCGGGAAACCGGAGCUAAUACCGCGUGAGACCACGUCCUGGCAUCAGGAUGGGGUUAAAGCUCCGCAAGGGGCACUUGAGGAGGGGUUCACGGCCUAUCAGCUAGUUGGCGGGGUUAAAGCCCACCAAGGCGACGACGGGUAACCGGUCUGAAAGGACGACCGGUCACAAUGGCACUGAGACACGGGCCAUACUCCUACGGGAGGCAGCAGUGGGGAAUUUUGCUCAAUGGGGGAAACCCUGAAGCAGCGAUGCCGCGUGGAGGACGAAGGUCUUCGGAUUGUAAACUCCUUUUGCUGGUGAAAAAUAGCGGCGUGAAUAACGCCGACUGAUGGUAACCGCGAAUAAGCCACGGCUAACUUCGUGCCAGCAGCCGCGGUAAU